CCCAUAUUAAUUCUUGAAAAUGGACAUGGUUUUAUUUUUCUUCUUUGGUUUGCAAAAACGUCAAUUCGUACUAUACUCUUCGACAUUUUCAAGCCCUCAUUUGUCCCUGCUUUUCUCCACAACCACACCAAACUCCACCACAAGGUCCACAACCACACCAAACUCCACCACCUCUUUCCUCUACUCUUGUCGCCUGAAAUUUUCGUCGACGUCUCCCCCUCUUCUUCGCUGGGUGUGGCCCGCUGCUCUGUUCUCCCUUCUGCUGCUUUGUUCUCUCAUCUAAAAAAAAUCGGAAAGACCAAAAAAAUUCUUUCUAAUUCUCUGAUUAAUUCAUAUUAUCAAUGUCAACUCACCAUCGUAACUAUCUUAAACUCAUCGUUCUCAACAAUAGUGGGCGAAAUGGCGAUUAGGUUUCUGAAUCGGAAGUUAGAAAAAUUGGCGAUUGGCGUCCUGUUUGGCAAUAAGAACGGUGUGCUAUGAAUAUAUGGAUGAGCAAGGCCAGGAACUUUAUUCACUCUCGACGAACACCUAACGGAAUAUUUCAUAAACAAAAUGGUGGUUGGUUGGCUUGGUGUCUCUGAUCUGAGCCUGUGGUGCAAAACUAGGCUGUUGAUUUUGUAUGUUGUGCUGCCCUAGAUGCUCUGUUGUUCUGAUUCUUGUUGUCCUAUUGAUCUCCACUUUGUUGAUGGGUGAUCUGUAAUUUAUUCUGCGCAUUGCUACUGUUUUUUCUCGAAGCCUGAAAGGUGGCCGCAAAUAUGAAGAAGAGUUACAUGUAGCAUAUGGUGUGGUUUGUUUGUACAAGCUACUUUAGACCGAUUUGGAUUGACUUAGGUAGUUUUUGUUUCUUUGUCGGUUGUGUAUUUUUGUAUUGGUUUUAGAGUUUGGUUGGCUAGCUUAGUUUUAUGUAGUUUUGGGCUUGCAGGUUGUUGCAAGGUCUAGGGUGUUUUUUUUUUGUAAUAAUAUUUGGUUCGCUUUUGGUUAAUAAUAUUACUUAUUUACCAAAUAUUAGCUUAUAGGUGAUUGUGCUUGGAAA